rnacentral:rRNA from 1 species
AUCGAGUGGCGAACGGGUGAGUAACGCGUGAGGAACCUGCCUCAAAGAGGGGGACAACAGUUGGAAACGACUGCUAAUACCGCAUAAGCCCACGACCCGGCAUCGGGAAGAGGGAAAAGGAGCAAUCCGCUUUGAGAUGGCCUCGCGUCCGAUUAGCUAGUUGGUGAGGUAACGGCCCACCAAGGCGACGAUCGGUAGCCGGACUGAGAGGUUGAACGGCCACAUUGGGACUGAGACACGGCCCAGACUCCUACGGGAGGCAGCAGUGGGGAAUAUUGCACAAUGGGGGAAACCCUGAUGCAGCGACGCCGCGUGGAGGAAGAAGGUCUUCGGAUUGUAAACUCCUGUUGUUGAGGAAGAUAAUGACGGUACUCAACAAGGAAGUGACGGCUAACUACGUGCCAGCAGCCGCGGUAAAACGUAGGUCACAAGCGUUGUCCGGAAUUACUGGGUGUAAAGGGAGCGCAGGCGGGCGAUCAAGUUGGAAGUGAAAUCCAUGGGCUCAACCCAUGAACUGCUUUCAAAACUGGUCGUCUUGAGUAGUGCAGAGGUAGGCGGAAUUCCCGGUGUAGCGGUGGAAUGCGUAGAUAUCGGGAGGAACACCAGUGGCGAAGGCGGCCUACUGGGCACCAACUGACGCUGAGGCUCGAAAGUGUGGGUAGCAAACAGGAUUAGAUACCCUGGUAGUCCACACUGUAAACGAUGAUUACUAGGUGUUGGGAGAUUGACCCUCUCAGUGCCGCAGUUAACACAAUAAGUAAUCCACCUGGGGAGUACGACCGCAAGGUUGAAACUCAAAGGAAUUGACGGGGGCCCGCACAAGCAGUGGAGUAUGUGGUUUAAUUCGACGCAACGCGAAGAACCUUACCAAGUCUUGACAUCCUCUGACGAACGUAGAAAUACGUUUUCUCUUCGGAGCAGAGAGACAGGUGGUGCAUGGUUGUCGUCAGCUCGUGUCGUGAGAUGUUGGGUUAAG